rnacentral:rRNA from 1 species
UACGUAGGGGGCAAGCGUUGUCCGGAUUUAUUGGGCGUAAAGAGCGUGUAGGCGGUUUGGUAGGUCCGUUGUGAAAACUCGAGGCUCAACCUCGAGACGCCGAUGGAAACCAUCAGACUAGAGUCCGGAAGAGGAGAGUGGAAUUCCUGGUGUAGCGGUGAAAUGCGCAGAUAUCGGGAGGAACACCAGUGGCGCAAGCGGCUAACUGGCCGAGACCUGACGCUGAGACGCGACGGCGUGGGGAGCAAACAGG